ensembl:lncRNA
AUCAACAGAUAACAUUUAUUUGUUUAUUCUGAAAAAUGCAGAAAAAGACAGAUGAACUUCCCUUUAAAGCGGGAACUACAUAUUAGGCAGAUCCUGAGGAAAAAAACAAAACAGAACACUGUGCCAACUCUACUUUCCCUGUAUUAUCAGACAGAAAAGUACCCAAAAAUAUGUAUGACUCUGAAUAAACCAUGGAUCCAUCACUUUUACACAUUACAAAUUUACAGUAUCAUCAUAAAAUAUGUCCUAUGACAGGAAUCCCAAAAUGAAAUGAUUUGUUAAAGUCACAUUCAACCAGUCCACUUGCACAGCCUGCUGGUCACAUAAUAUACUGCAAUCCCAGUAUGACUGCAUGUACUACAGCAUUUAGCCCCGAGCUGAGGGGAAAAAAAAAACAAUCUAGACUACAUACAUGUGGAUCUGUCUUCACAAAGGUAUUACUACAGACAUUUAAACAGGAACAGAUCAAUGAGACAGUAUUUUAACCUGACAAAUCAAAAAAGAAAUUAUAGGAAAUGGGGUUACCAGGAGUGUUAAGGCUGCAAAUGAUAUUACAAAUGUGAUUUUAUCAAUGAGUGUUUUAUGAUUCCUGGUACCAACACCCAAAAUUUCAUUCACUUUGCACCAUAGUAUACUUUGACAAUAGCACUCAUUUAACACCAAUCUACAUGCUUGAAUUAAUACAUUCAACACAUUUUGUAGUUGGAAUAAUCAUAGGAUGUACAUUAGAGGAACAAGGCCUGCUGGUUUGCUCAUCACCUUUGACCUCUCCCAUUCAUAUUUUCAGUGGAUCCUGGUUCAGAAGUUUUUGUGACACUACCGAAAGACGAAAAGGUCCAUGACAGUAAAAGGGCAUUAGUUCUAGUCUGAUCACUAUUUGACAAACAGCAUCAUCAGGCAAUAAGAGCUGCAUCUAGUUACUUUUCCUCUCUAAGAGAGGAAAAUCAUAUGUGCUUGAAGAAAAAGGGUAAAGCAUUUGCACAAACAGGAAAAACUGGCAAACUGGAAAUAGCUUCAUGUCCACAGAUGGUCAGAUGUCAAUACCUUUAGUGAUUUUGACAAAACAAUAUUAACAUCACAUGAAAUCAAAAUUUUAAAACACAAACUGCUACAAAGGUGGGUCACAUUAGGUUAAGUGAAUUUAACAGCAUCUAUCAGCUUUAAAUGGAUGGAAGCUCAAACGAUAGCCGAAAUUACAGUGUGUGACAACCUGUGCUGGGAAUAGAGGAGAGCUGUAACUGAAAAAAAAUAUGAUAGAUGUAUAGGAGGGGAACUCUGCCAACUCUAUUAAACCUAACCCACCUUUGCAGCACUGUCUGCAUUAAUGAUUUGGACACAAGUUUAAUUCUUGGCCUACUGUUGGUACACCAGCUUUGAAAAGACAAAAACGCAGGAAUCUUCUAAGAAACCACUGAACUAGUACUUGCAGCAUCAAGCUUCCAAAUUGCUCUAGUAAAAAAAAAAAAAAAAAAAAAAAAAAAAACAGCAAACAUGACUUCAGAAGGCAGAUCAGGAAGUUCAUAGUUUAUUAAAAUUCUAUAUGAUUUAAUCUAAAUGAGUAUAAAAAAAAAACUGUUGAAAUCAAUGCAAAAUUCCUAAGCAAGUGUGAGUGUACAAUGUAUGGUCCAGUGUACUCUACUCAUUUCAAGUUUAUUACAAACAGCAAUCUUCAACCCUGAAAGCAACUCAGAGAACCGUGAGUAUUUCUCAGAAUAAAACAACGAACAUAUCGCAUUUUGCCUUGCUACCUCUACCUGUCCUUUGAUAAACCUCUGAGAAUAAAGAAGGAAACUGAAUGUUCCAAAUCUCCAGUGUGGCCCAGCCACCGUGAGGUCCGUUUACAAAUCAGAUAAUAAAUACAGGCAUCCAAAUGGGCUACAACAGCAAAUAUUUUGAAAAUAUUUUCCUCAUGCAUACACACAAGCAUACGUCUGACUGAGAUUAUGAGCUUCCUAUACCCUCUUGUCUACUCUCAACAGUUAUUCUUUACAGUGCAACAGUAUGGCAGCAAAUGGAUAGCAGUGCUUUCAUUAAAAAAAAAAGAAUGGAAAAUAAAAAUAUAUACAACAUCAUGGAAAAGCAGUAGUUUCAUCUUUUGGUCCUGUGUCCAUUACAGACAGAACUGCUUUUUUAAAUUCUUCCUCAUAUCAACAACAGUAGUUUCCACAAGACUGAAGAGCUGUGGGAGGAAAAGGUGGAACAAGUAUUAGGAUUUUAAAUCUUGCUGUUUGAAGGUGCGUGUAUUACACCCACAUCGCACAUAUCUUUGUUUGGUCAAAUGCACUUUUUGAGGACAGCAGAGUGCUGACUAUGAUCCUUUCAACUGUCUUUAGUUCCCAAACAUGCUUAAUAUUGUUGGGCUUCAUCUGUCACUUAAAGGAUGACUGGGUCUGAAAAAUGUGAAAGUGACCAUGGCAACAUUGAGUGGGAGUUUAAAAACAAGGCGAGGUGCAACGUUAUCAGUUAACCAGCUGUCUGAAGCCAGUACAAAGCCGUACCACUGCCAAAAAUCAUGACAGCGUCAGAAAAAAAACAAAAGAGACUAAAUAAAUAACAUCAAAUCAAAGUCACUCAUUUACUGACAGCUGAGUCAUGGUCACAAGGAAAAGUGAAGUGGUUAUCAGCAAAACAAAGCUAAUCAAGAGGGAAAAGGACAUUGAUUCCGUCAUGCUGGCUGAGAAUUCCCCCAAUACAACAUGGCAGCACAAUACAGUAAAAAUAUGAGCUGUGCAGCAUUUCUCUUGUUUCCUCUCAAAGCCACACAAGACAAGUCUGCUGCUGUGCCUAUGCAAAAUCUGCCAUAAUUUCUUUUGACAUGACAUGGGUGGAGUCAAGAC